CCUACGGGAGGCAGCAGUGAGGAAUAUUGGUCAAUGGACGAGAGUCUGAACCAGCCAAGUAGCGUGAAGGAUGACUGCCCUAUGGGUUGUAAACUUCUUUUAUCUGGGAAUAAAAUGUUCCACGUGUGGGAUUUUGUAUGUACCAUAUGAAUAAGGAUCGGCUAACUCCGUGCCAGCAGCCGCGGUAAUACGGGGGAUUCGAGCGUUAUCCGGAUUUAUUGGGUUUAAAGGGAGCGUAGGUGGAUUGUUAAGUCAGUUGUGAAAGUCUGGGGCUCAACCGUGAAAUUGCAGUUGAAACUGGCAGUCUUGAGUACAGUAGAGGUAGGCGGAAUGCGUGGUGUAGCGGUGAAAUGCUUAGAUAUCACGAAGAACUCCGAUUGCGAAGGCAGUUUAAUGGACUGCAACUGACGCUGAGGCACGAAAGUGUGGGUAUCAAACAGGAUUAGAUACCCUAGUAGUC
rnacentral:rRNA from 1 species